rnacentral:rRNA from 1 species
CAGCCGCCACGGUAAAACGUAGGUGGCAAGCGUUGUCCGGAAUUAUUGGGCGUAAAGCGCGCGCAGGUGGUUUAAUAAGUCUGAUGUGAAAGCCCACGGCUCAACCGUGGAGGGUCAUUGGAAACUGUUAAACUUGAGUGCAGGAGAGAAAAGUGGAAUUCCUAGUGUAGCGGUGAAAUGCGUAGAGAUUAGGAGGAACACCAGUGGCGAAGGCGGCUUUUUGGCCUGUAACUGACACUGAGGCGCGAAAGCGUGGGGAGCAAACAGGAUUAGAUACCCGAGUAGUCCCUGUCUCUUAUAA